GAAGGGGAUGCGUUCCAUUAGGCAGUUGGUGGGGUAACGGCCCACCAAACCUUCGAUGGAUAGGGGUUCUGAGAGGAAGGUCCCCCACAUUGGAAMUGAGACACGGUCCAAACUCCUACGGGAGGCAGCAGUGAGGAAUAUUGGUCAAUGGACGAGAGUGUGAACCAGCCAAGUAGCGUGAAGGAUGACUGCCCUAUGGGUUGUAAACUUCUUUUAUAUGGGAAUAAAGUGGUCCACGUGUGGGUUUUUGUAUGUACCAUAUGAAUAAGGAUCGGSUAACUCCGUGCCAGCAGCCGCGGUAAUACGGAGGAUCCGAGCGUUAUCCGGAUUUAUUGGGUUUAAAGGGAGSGUAGGUGGACAGUUAAGUCAGUUGUGAAAGUUUGCGGCUCAACCGUAAAAUUGCAGUUGAUACUGGCUGUCUUGAGUACAGUAGAGGUGGGCGGAAUUCGUGGUGUAGCGGUGAAAUGCUUAGAUAUCACGAAGAACUCCGAKUGCGAAGGCAGCUCACUGGACUGCAACUGACACUGAUGCUUGAAAGUGUGGGUAUCAAACAGGAUUAGAUACCCUGGUAGUCCACACAGUAAACGAUGAAUACUCGCUGUUUGCGAUAUACAGUAAGCGGCC
rnacentral:rRNA from 1 species